rnacentral:rRNA from 1 species
UUAAGCAUAUCAAUAAGCGGAGGAAAAAGAAACCAACCGGGAUUGCCUUAGUAACGGCGAGUGAAGCGGCAAAAGCUCAAAUUUGAAAUCUAGUACCUUCGGUGCUCGAGUUGUAAUUUGAAGAGGGAUACUUUGGGACCGUUCCUUGUCUAUGUUCCUUGGAACAGGACGUCAUAGAGGGUGAGAAUCCCGUGUGGCGAGGAGUGCGGUUCUUUGUAAAGUUCUCUCGAAGAGUCGAGUUGUUUGGGAAUGCAGCUCUAAGUGGGUGGUAAAUUCCAUCUAAAGCUAAAUAUUGGCGAGAGACCGAUAGCGAACAAGUACAGUGAUGGAAAGAUGAAAAGAACUUUGAAAAGAGAGUGAAAAAGUACGUGAAAUUGUUGAAAGGGAAGGGCAUUUGAUCAGACAUGGUGUUUUGCGCCCUCUGCUCCUUGUGGGUAGGGGAAUCUCGCAGCUCACUGGGCCAACAUCAGUUUUGGUGGCAGGAUAAAUCCAUAGGAAUGUACCUUGCUUGCAAGUAUUAUAGCCUGUGGGAAUACUGCCAACUGGGACUGAGGACUGCGACUU